UAUUUCACCUUUUGUUUUCUGAUUUUUUUUUAAUCUUUGUUUUGUUAAUUUCUAGGACCUGAAACAGUACCUGCUCUACAAAUACUAGAUGAAUGGAUGGACAAACAGAAAAGAUCAAGGCUGUUCUAUUAAGAGGAAAUGGGCUCAAGCAGCCCACGCUGCUGUUACUCACCCCAUAUUUGGGAGAUCUGACAGUGAGCAGAGGGGCCCCUGAAGCCAGGAUGACUCUGAGAACCUACUGAUAGUCUUGCCAAAUGCUACAGAACACCUCAGCUUCAGAGAUCCC
rnacentral:lncRNA from 1 species